UUUGCUGGAAAAGAAUGAAAAGUGGAGAUUUCCUUUAGUUUCACUGAAGAAGAUGAAGAGAGACAAAGAGUAACCAUUCUUUUGAUAAUCUGCUAAAAAAAAAUUAAAUGUUAGUUUAUUUUUGGUAUAUUAAGGAGGAAUUUGCCCUUGAGCGGAUAAGAAUUUCGCACAUAGCUAAUUUCCGUUGGUUCCAGCCUUCCUCAUGGCCUCACGCCUAAAUUAUUCUCUGAUCUUUUUUAUUUUUGGGAAAUUAUUCUAUAAUCAAUUCUUUAUUAGGAAGAAGGAGAAGAUUAGCUUGCUUAUCCUCGCUUUUUCUCCUCUCAACUUUCUUUUUUACGUUAACUACACAUUUCUUUGGGACAAAAACCAAAGAAUUCCGUUACC
rnacentral:lncRNA from 1 species